UACGGAGGGUGCGAGCGUUGUCCGGAAUCACUGGGCGUAAAGGCGCGUAGGCGGCCUGAUAAGUAGGGGUGAAUCCUGCGGCUUAACCGCAGGCUGCCUUCUAAACUGUCAGGCUGGAGCACAGUAGAGGCAGGUGGAAUUCCGUGUAGCGGUGGAAUGCGUAGAGAUCGGAAGAACAUCAGUGGCGAAGCGCCUGCUGGCUGUUGCUGACGCUGAGCGCGACAGCGUGGAGCAACAG
rnacentral:rRNA from 1 species